GACGAACGCUGGCGGCGUGCUUAACACAUGCAAGUCGAACGAAGAGCGAUGGACGCUUGCUUCUAUCAAUCUUGGUGGCGCACGGGUGAGUAACGCGUAAUCAACCUUCCCUUUAGGGGGGGACCACAGUUGGUAACGACUACUAAUAACGCCUCCGCUCCAAUGUUGGCAUGGGGGCUAGAUGACAGGUGGCCUCUAUUUAUAGGCUCUCACUGCAGGUGGGGAUUGCGGCUGUUUAGCUAGUUGGAAGGGUAAGGUCCCACCAUGGCGAGGAAGAGUAGCAGGACUGAGAGGAUGGGUGGCCACAUUGGGACUGUGAACGGGCACAGACGCCUACGGGAGGCAGCAAGGGGGAAUCUGCCGCAAGGGACGAAAGUCUGACGGAGCAACGCGGCGGGAGUGAGGACGGCCUUCGGGUUGUAAAGCUCUGUUAAUCGGGACGAAUGGUUCUUGGGCGAAUAGUGCGCGGAUUUGACGGUACCGGAAUAGAAAGCCACGGCUAACUACGUG
rnacentral:rRNA from 1 species